UAAACCAGAGAAUAUAUUCUCUAAGCUCUUAAAAAUCCCCAAAAAAUGACAAAAGAUUUAGGUUGCUAACUGCUAAGCUAAAGUCUAUAUUUUUUGGGGGAUUUUCAAGAGCUUAGAGAAUAUACAUUAAUGAUGAGCUCUUAGUAGUAUCAACUCUAAAAAUGACAAAAGAAAACACCAACAAGAUGUUUAUGCAGUCAAUUGUUUACCUAGUAGGGAAGAAUCAGACCUUCGACCUCUUUACAAGCUAGGGAGUUGAAGCCUAUGAGGAUGUCGAAUAACCUCAUUUUAGCAUGACCACAAUUCUCCAAAAUUCAAGAAUUCCUGCAUGUGUGUAUGAAGGCCAUUUGAGUGUGAUAAAAACAAACCUAGAAGAUAUCUAGAGAGGCAUCCUAAUUAAAGCAUGAGCUAGAGUCCUCCUUUUUGGUAAUUGCAUCACUUUCAUGAUCAAGAAAAAAGGAAUAUAUAAACUCCAACAAAAAAACUCCAAGAACAUGAACCAUAAAGAGCACCUCUUUCUUCGACAACCUCCUCCAACUCUAGAUAUCUGAUUCAAGUUAGGAUUAGAAGGGUCUGGAUUAGGGAUAGUGUUGAGGAGAGAAUAUAUGGCUAUGGGAUUUAAUGGGGGAUAAUUUGGGUGUCAAAGAGACUGUCGGUAGCGAGUUCUAUAGGUAGAAUGAUGGUGGAGGAGGAUCUACCGUUGUUUUUACCGUCGAACGGAGGGGCAACGAUGAAGGUGGAGGCGCGUCAAUCUAGAAAGGGGUACGAACGAGGCGACAAUGAAAGUGGGGAAGCGUCGAUCUAGAACUGGGUAUGAUGGGGGUGAGGAAGAGGCCGGUCAUGGCCAGAUCUGGUGAGGAGAAGACCGACCACGCCCAGAUCUUGUGAGGAGGAGGCUGGCCGCAUCUAGAUCCGGCAAGGAGGAGGUCAGUUGCGCACACAUCUGGUGGGAAGGAGGUUAGUCGCGCACACAUAUGGCAAGAAGGAGGCUAGCCACACCCAGAUCUAGUGGGAAGAAGGCUAGCCGUGCCCAGAUCCGGCGAGGAGGAGGUUGACCGCGCACAUAUCCGGCAGGCCCUCCUCCGGCAUGACUAGUGGCGCCCUGGCCCUGCUGCAUAUGUGACCAGACGCCCUGGCGACGGGGUGGCCGCAGUGAGGCCUCACACGUCCUAUGGGCUCCCUUCUCCGACAACCAGCGUCUUGUGUCCUGCAGACCUGCUCUGACGAACGCGGUGGUGGCAGCACGCGGUGUGGCGCCAUGGUCGAGGCAGUGGUAGGCUCGAUUGGAUUUGCUUGCAUUGGCUUUUUGAUUUGUCUAAAUCAUUUAACGGGGGAUGGGUGGAUCUGGUGGUAUUCCUACCGUAGACGGAGGGGUGACGAUGAAGGUGGGGGAGUGUCUAUUUAGAAAGGGGUAGGGUCGGGGAGGAGAGGGAGGGGGAGCUAAUUCCAGCAAGGUGGAGGUAGGUGGGGCUAUCUCGGAAUUGAGAGAGUAGAGGAAGUGGGGCAAGAUGGGAGAGAGAGGAGGAAGGAUAUAAGAUUUGGUAAUAGUAGUGGUAGGGGCAGAGGUGUAUAGUGUGGUGGUUAUCCCUCGUUAGCAUCAUGGGGAGGGUGCUCUCAAUGUAGUCGG
rnacentral:lncRNA from 1 species